CGGACGGGUGAGUAAUGUCUGGGAAACUGCCUGAUGGAGGGGGAUAACUACUGGAAACGGUAGCUAAUACCGCAUAACGUCGCAAGACCAAAGAGGGGACCUUCGGGCCUCUUGCCAUCGGAUGUGCCCAGAUGGGAUUAGCUAGUAGGUGGGGUAACGGCUCACCUAGGCGACGACCCCUAGCUGGUCUGAGAGGAUGACCAGCCACACUGGAACUGAGACACGGUCCAG
rnacentral:rRNA from 1 species